rnacentral:rRNA from 1 species
CCUACGGGUGGCUGCAGUGGGGAAUAUUGGACAAUGGGGGGAACCCUGAUCCAGCCAUGCCGCGUGUGUGAAGAAGGCCCUCGGGUUGUAAAGCACUUUCAGUGAGGAAGAACGCCUGGUGGUUAAUACCCAUCAGGAAAGACAUCACUCACAGAAGAAGCACCGGCUAACUCCGUGCCAGCAGCCGCGGUAAUACGGAGGGUGCGAGCGUUAAUCGGAAUUACUGGGCGUAAAGCGCGCGUAGGUGGCUUGAUAAGCCGGUUGUGAAAGCCCCGGGCUCAACCUGGGAACGGCAUCCGGAACUGUCAAGCUAGAGUGCAGGGGAGGAAGGUAGAAUUCCCGGUGUAGCGGUGAAAUGCGUAGAGAUCGGGAGGAAUACCAGUGGCGAAGGCGGCCUUCUGGACUGACACUGACACUGAGGUGCGAAAGCGUGGGUAGCAAACAGGAUUAGAUACCCUUGUAGUC